rnacentral:rRNA from 1 species
GACGAACGCUUUCUUCUUUCCUAAUACAUGCAAGUAGAACGCUGAAGGAGGAGCUUGCUUCUCUGGAUGAGUUGCGAACGGGUGAGUAACGCGUAGGUAACCUGCCUGGUAGCGGGGGAUAACUAUUGGAAACGAUAGCUAAUACCGCAUAAGAGUAGAUGUUGCAUGACAUUUGCUUAAAAGGUGCAAUUGCAUCACUACCAGAUGGACCUGCGUUGUAUUAGCUAGUUGGUGGGGUAACGGCUCACCAAUUCGACGAUACAUAGCCGACCUGAGAGGGUGAUCGGCCACACUGGGACUGAGACACGGCCCAGACUCCUACGGGAGGCAGCAGUAGGGAAUCUUCGGCAAUGGACGGAAGUCUGACCGAGCAACGCCGCGUGAGUGAAGAAGGUUUUCGGAUCGUAAAGCUCUGUUGUAAGAGAAGAACGAGUGUGAGAGUGGAAAGUUCACACUGUGACGGUAUCUUACCAGAAAGGGACAGCUAACUACGUG